rnacentral:rRNA from 1 species
CGGUGGAGCAUGUGGUUUAAUUCGAAGAUACGCGAAGAACCUUACCUAGGCUUGACAUUGAUAGAAUCCUAUAGAGAUAUGGGAGUGCCCUUCGGGGAGCUUGAAAACAGGUGCUGCACGGCUGUCGUCAGCUCGUGUCGUGAGAUGUUGGGUUAAGUCCCGCAACGAGCGCAACCCUCGUCCUUAGUUGCUAGCAGCUCGGCUGAGCACUCUAAGGAGACUGCCUUCGUUAGGAGGAGGAAGGUGAGGACGACGUCAAGUCAUCAUGGCCCUUACGCCUAGGGCUACACACGUGCUACAAUGGGGCAUACAAUGAGGAGCAAUACCGCGAGGUGGAGCAAAUCUCUAAAAUGUCUCUCAGUUCGGAUUGUAGUCUGCAACUCGACUACAUGAAGCUGGAAUCGCUAGUAAUCGCAAAUCAGCAAUGUUGCGGUGAAUACGUUCCCGGGUCUUGUACUCACCGCCCGUCACACCAUGGGAGUUGUAUUCGCCUUAAGUCGGGAUACUAA